rnacentral:siRNA from 1 species
ACCACAACCACAACCGACUA